GACGAACGCUGGCGGCGUGCUUAACACAUGCAAGUCGAACGGAAAGGCCCUGCUUUUGUGGGGUGCUCGAGUGGCGAACGGGUGAGUAACACGUGAGUAACCUGCCCUUGACUUUGGGAUAACUUCAGGAAACUGGGGCUAAUACCGGAUAGGAGCUCCUGCUGCAUGGUGGGGGUUGGAAAGUUUCGGCGGUUGGGGAUGGACUCGCGGCUUAUCAGCUUGUUGGUGGGGUAGUGGCUUACCAAGGCUUUGACGGGUAGCCGGCCUGAGAGGGUGACCGGCCACAUUGGGAAUGAGAUACGGCCCAGACUCCUACGGGAGGCAGCAGUGGGGAAUAUUGCACAAUGGGCGGCAGCCUGAUGCAGCAACGCCGCGUGCGGGAUGACGGCCUUCGGGUUGUAAACCGCUUUCGCCUGUGACGAAGCGUGAGUGACGGUAAUGGGUAAAGAAGCACCGGCUAACUACGUG
rnacentral:rRNA from 1 species